GUGGGGAAUCUUGCGCAAUGGGCGAAAGCCUGACGCAGCCAUGCCGCGUGAAUGAUGAAGGUCUUAGGAUUGUAAAAUUCUUUCACCGGGGACGAUAAUGACGGUACCCGGAGAAGAAGCUCCGGCUAACUUCGUGCCAGCAGCCACGGUAAUACGAAGGGGGCUAGCGUUGCUCGGAAUUACUGGGCGUAAAGGGCGCGUAGGCGGACAGCUUAGUCAGAGGUGAAAGCCCAGGGCUCAACCUUGGAAUUGCCUUUGAUACUGGCUGUCUUGAGUUUGGGAGAGGUGAGUGGAACUCCGAGUGUAGAGGUGAAAUUCGUAGAUAUUCGGAAGAACACCAGUGGCGAAGGCGACUCACUGGCCCAAUACUGACGCUGAGGCGCGAAAGCGUGGGGAGCAAACAGGAUUAGAUACCCGUGUAGUCC
rnacentral:rRNA from 1 species